rnacentral:lncRNA from 1 species
AUGAAAUACAGAAAGCACACCAAGGGGACAGUUUAUGUACGCAAGCGUGGAUGUGUAUCCAGUGUGUGCGUGUGUGUGGAUAUGUAUAUCUAUACCCACACACAAAACAGGAUAUAUACUUUUAAGCUAAAUCACUCAAGAAUUUCAUCAUUCUAUGUACACUUAUUCUUUCCACAUGAUUGUGUUCAGUACUAACAGCAGCAUUGGCCGUGUCAGACCCAAUCUGUCAGAUCCAAUAAGUCAGGAGGAUAUAUUUAGGGAUUGGGACUGGUCAUAAUGUGACUAUUUAAUCUGCAUGCUAUCUGACCCUUAUAAUAAGUGAUUGCUGCAAUGUGAUGAAGUGCCGCCUGCUCUCUAGCUAGACAGCCCCAGCGCCUUUGCCUUCAACACACAAGAACAAUGGCAGCUCCAGUGUGGGGAGGGAGGCAGAGGUUUGAGCAGCAUGGUUUGAGAUCCCCUUGUCAGGUCUUCUGAUGCUGAACAGGACUGGGCAGCACUAACAGCACCUCUAGCUAGGAUAUUUAGGUCUUAGAAACAUCAUUGUUCUAAAAACUACUUGUGAGUCUGCCUCCCUUGCCCCAUAUAUCCAGCCAGAAACAAAUACAAGAAUAUGGCAUUGUGCACAGAAGUCCCCAAAGAUGGCAUUAUAAGGACUGAGACCAUGGAAUAAAAGACAUAGGUUAAUACAAAUUACAGAAAAGCCCUUAUGUAUACUUAUAGCUGAUUCAUGCUGUUUUACAGCACAAAACCAACACACCAUUGUAAAGCAAUUCUCCUCCAAUUAAAAAUAAAUUUUUAAAAAUUCUAGCCUUUCAAAAAAAAACUGAUUAAAGUCAUUAUUUACAAAAUAAAGUCAAGCAUUUACUGUUGCUUAAGCUUUUCUUGACAACUUCCUAGUAGUCUGGACAAAAGAU